rnacentral:lncRNA from 10 species
GUAUAUUUGUAAGCCGAGUUGAAUGCUUUGUGGAGAGAGCCCCUAAAAUGGAGCCUGGCAGAUAACAAGCACGAGAUAAACACCAGCUGACUCCACGGAUGGAGGGCACGUGGACGGACUGGGUAUGCAGAAGAGACUCUCUGACUGCAGACUCGGCUGCCACACAUAGAAAUGUCUGCUCCCUGGACCCUCAGACUGCCUCGGUCCCUCCCCCGUGAAACCCACUCCACCAUUUCCACGCACACUCCCAUGCUGUCACCCUCAGGAAGCAUCAUGACAGCUUGAUGCUGGCAGCAACUGUCCAUGAAGAGGGGAAGAGUGACAAUGCAGGAAAGAGAAGAAGACUCAAGACACAAAGUCCUCAGGGGGCGAGGGUCACCUCCUUCUACCAGGCCAGAGAGCAGAACGUGUGGGAACAAGGGCAGGCAAGCUCGUGGAGGUGGUGGUUGAAAGGUGAGAAUUGGAAUAUAAUUUCCAUCCAGGGAAGGAAGUGUCCCCUUUAGAGUAACAACACCUUGGGCACACCAUUAACAAAUGACAGACUUGGGCUCUGCUGCUCAGAGAACUGAAGUCAGAGGAUAGCACAUGCAUUCUUAGCUGAGAAGUUCAUAAGAGCUAUAAGAACCUGUGUGAUGUUUCCUGGAAAGUACUCGGGAACAGGAAUCAGGAAACCUGAGUUUGAGUCCCUUUCUUGCCACCAAAUCCAUCAUCAGAUGACACUUGAACAUGCCUCUCAAAGGAUGAGAUUAGGCAAGAUCAUCUCUCUACCAAACCCUCUUCUCUCACUUCCCAAGAAGAGAGAUUGCCUGGCCCUGCUUGAAUGUCAUGAACAGGUGUGCUGGGGGGUCUAGUCUGGACCAGGUAGCUCCCACCAGGACAGAGCUGCCAACUGCACAUGGAGACCCUGAAGCUUUUUUGGCCUUUAACCAGCUCCUGAGCUGCUGCAACUCACAGAGAAAGGAAAUAGCAUAAUGGGCCAAUGACAAGUUAUAUAAUUUGGUUGAAACUUCAAACAACAGGACCCAUAUGGAUAGGAAAUUAUUUUAAAUGGACUCAAAUGUCUAAUUUACAUAAUCUAUGUUUCUUGUUCAUAUUUGCACCCAGUGGGUGGUUAUAUGAAUAUUUGAAUACUUGAUGACUGAUUAAUAGAAUAUAAUUUGCCAGGACCCUUCACUGUUGAGAAGGGUUUGAACGAAC